rnacentral:rRNA from 1 species
CAGUAGCCGCGGUAAUACGAAGGGUGCAACCGUUAAUCGGAAUUACUGAGCGUGAAGCGUGCGUAGGCGGUUUGUUAAGUCUGUUGUGGAAUCCCCGGGCUCAACCUGGGAAUGGCAGUGGAUACUGGCAAGCUAGAGUGUGUCAGAGGAUGGUGGAAUUCCCGGUGUAGCGGUGAAAUGCGUAGAGAUCGGGGGGAACAUCAGUGGCGAAGGCGGCCAUCUGGGACAACACUGACGCUGAGGCACGAAAGCGUGGGGAGCAAACAGGAUUAGAUACCCCCGUAGUCCCUGUCUCUUAUAC